rnacentral:rRNA from 1 species
UACGUAGGGGGGCUAGCGUUGUCCGGAUUUAUUGGGCGUAAAGAGCGUGUAGGCGGCCAGAUAGGUCUGCUGUGAAAACUCGAGGCUCAACCUCGAGCUGUCGGCGGAAACCAUUUGGCUAGAGUCCGGAAGAGGAAAGUGGAAUUCCUGGUGUAGCGGUGAAAUGCGCAGAUAUCAGGAAGAACACCCGUGGCGAAGGCGGCUUUCUGGGACGGUACUGACGCUGAGACGCGAAAGCGUGGGGAGCGAACAGG